CCGCGGUGCAUUAGCUAGUUGGUAGGUAAGGCUACCAAGGCGAUGAUGCAUAGCCGAGUUGAGAGACUGAUCGGCCACAUUGGGACUGAGACACGGCCCAAACUCCUACGGGAGGCAGCAGUAGGGAAUCUUCCACAAUGGACGCAAGUCUGAUGGAGCAACGCCGCGUGAGUGAAGAAGGUUUCGGCUCGUAAAGCUCUGUUGUUGGUGAAGAAGGACAGGGGUAGUAACUGACCUUUGUUUGACGGUAAUCAAUUAGAAAGUCACGGCUAACUACGUGCCAGCAGCCGCGGUAAAU
rnacentral:rRNA from 1 species